rnacentral:snoRNA from 1 species
ACGACCUUACUUGAACAGGAUCUGUUCUAUAGGCUCGUACCUCUGUAUUCUUGAUUCCUUAGAAGACAGAAACCCAUGUCUGGUUGAUGAACCAUGAGCAUGGAGCCAGAGCGUGAUUAACAGAGCUUUGUGGGUUUACUCAUGGCUUAGUAGACGAUCGUUGCUAGCCCAUCUGAUGGGUCUUGCAUGGCUUCAUGGUUGUCUGACAGACA